GGUGACGAGUGGCGGACGGGUGAGUAAUGUCUGGGAAACUGCCCGAUGGAGGGGGAUAACUACUGGAAACGGUAGCUAAUACCGCAUGACGUCUUCGGACCAAAGAGGGGGACCUUCGGGCCUCUUGCCAUCGGAUGUGCCCAGAUGGGAUUAGCUAGUAGGUGGGGUAAUGGCUCACCUAGGCGACGAUCCCUAGCUGGUCUGAGAGGAUGACCAGCCACACUGGAACUGAGACACGGUCCAGACUCCUACGGGAGGCAGCAGUGGGGAAUAUUGCACAAUGGGCGCAAGCCUGAUGCAGCCAUGCCGCGUGUAUGAAGAAGGCCUUCGGGUUGUAAAGUACUUUCAGCGAGGAGGAAGGCGUUGAGGUUAAUAACCGCAGUGAUUGACGUUACUCGCAGAAGAAGCACCGGCUAACUCCGUGCCAGCAGCCGCGGUAAUACGGAGGGUGCAAGCGUUAAUCGGAAUUACUGGGCGUAAAGCGCACGCAGGCGGUCUGUCAAGUCGGAUGUGAAAUCCCCGGGCUCAACUUGGGAACUGCAUCCGAAACUGGCAGGCUAGAGUCUUGUAGAGGGGGGUAGAAUUCCAGGUGUAGCGGUGAAAUGCGUAGAGAUCU
rnacentral:rRNA from 1 species